rnacentral:lncRNA from 1 species
UACCAACAAACAUGCAGAUGCUGCUUUUUUUUAUUAUUAUUAUUUUUUAAAAAUCAUUUAGUUGUGUAUUUGUGAAGAGUUAUGGUCUUUUAAUGUAUUUUCAUGAUAAUUCAGAUUUUUCAAUCUUCUUUUUUUUUAAUUAAGCCAAAUCAAGUCUGAGAUUCCAUAUCUUCAGUGGAUGAGAGAAGUGAGACAUGGCUAUGGAAAAGUGAUCAGUGGGAAGUCAGCGUGAAUAUGUAGGAGAUGCAACGGUGGAUUUUUGGAAUGCACUCCUAACAGAAGCUCGUAAUCACAUCUAUAAACCCAGAAGGAAUUCUCUCAAAGAGGACAAAUGAAAGAAAGCACAUUGUCUAUUAUCCAAAAAAGACUUGGAUCUGAGAUUUCUGGUUUGGCUCAUUGCUGAAAGAAGAUGCCUGGGUCUGCAGUUACAGUUCUGGCUGCUCAGAGGAUGAAGAUGUAGAUUCAGUCUGGGAAGAGAACUUGAUAGCUUCAGUCAAAAGAAAACCAAAACAACAACCAAAAGAAACCUACAAGCAGCAGCAACAACAACAAAAAACAACCAAGAGCAGAAAAUUUGAGAAGAGCAUUGACUGCAGAUCUGAUUGAAAAUUUUGAGAGAACUAUUUUCUGUAGGCGUUCUCCUAUUGACCCCAAACAUUAAA